GGAGUUAGCCGGUGCUUCUUCUGUGAGUGAUGUCCUUCCUGCCGGCUAUUAACCCGCAGGCCUUCUUCCUCACUGAAAGUGCUUUACAACCCGAAGGCCUUCUUCACACACGCGGCAUGGCUGGAUCAGGGUUGCCCCCAUUGUCCAAUAUUCCCCACUGCUGCCUCCCGUAGGAGUCUGGUCCGUGUCUCAGUCCCAGUGUGUCUGAUCAUCCUCUCAGACCAGCUACGGAUCGUCGCCUUGGUGAGCCGUUACCUCACCAACCAGCUAAUCCGACAUAGGCUCAUCCGAUAGCGCGAGGCCCGAAGGUCCCCCGCUUUCCCCCGUAGGGCGUAUGCGGUAUUAGCCUGGGUUUCCCCAGGUUAUCCCCCACUACCGGGCAGAUUCCUAUGCAUUACUCACCCGUCCGCCGCUCGCCACCAGGGAGCAAGCUCCCCGUGCUGCCGCUCGACUUGCAUGUGUUAGGCCUGCCGCCAGCGUUCAAUCUGAGCCAUAAUCAAACUCUGA
rnacentral:rRNA from 1 species